UAGGGAAUCUUCCACAAUGGGCGAAAGCCUGAUGGAGCAACGCCGCGUGAGUGAGGAAGGCUUUCGGGUCGUAAAGCUCUGUUGCCAGGGAAGAAUAAGGAUCAUUUAACUGAUGAUCCGAUGACGGUACCUGAGAAGAAAGCCCCGGCUAACUACGUGCCAGCAGCCGCGGUAAUACGUAGGGGGCAAGCGUUGUCCGGAAUUAUUGGGCGUAAAGCGCGCGCAGGCGGUUCUUUAAGUCUGGUGUCUAAGUGCGGGCUCAACCCCGUGACGCACUGGAAACUGGGGAGCUUGAGUGCAGAAGAGGAGAGCGGAAUUCCACGUGUAGCGGUGAAAUGCGUAGAGAUGUGGAGGAACACCAGUGGCGAAGGCGGCUCUCUGGACUGUAACUGACGCUGAGGCGCGAAAGCGUGGGGAGCAAACAGGAUUGAGAUCACCCUGGUAGUCCACGCCGUAAACGAUGAGUGCUAGGUGUUGGGGGUAUCAUGCCCCCGGUGCCGAAGUUAACACAUUAAGGCACUCCGCCCUGGGGGAGUACGGUCGCAAGACUGAAACUUAAAUGAAUUGA
rnacentral:rRNA from 1 species